rnacentral:rRNA from 1 species
UACGUAGGUGGCAAGCGUUGUCCGGAUUUACUGGGCGUAAAGAGCGCGCAGGCGGUCGUUCAAGUCGAGUGUGAAAGCCCCCGGCUCAACUGGGGAGGGUCAUUCGAUACUGAUCGACUCGAAGGCAGGAGAGGGAAGUGGAAUUCCCGGUGUAGUGGUGAAAUGCGUAGAUAUCGGGAGGAACACCAGUGGCGAAGGCGACUACCUGGCCUGUUCUUGACGCUGAGGCGCGAAAGCUAGGGGAGCAAACGGG